UACGAAGGGGGCUAGCGUUGCUCGGAAUUACUGGGCGUAAAGCGCACGUAGGCGGCUUUCUAAGUCGGGGGUGAAAUCCUGGAGCUCAACUCCAGAACUGCCUUCGAUACUGGAGAGCUCGAGUCCGGGAGAGGUGAGUGGAACUGCGAGCGUAGAGGUGAAAUUCGUAGAUAUUCGCAAGAACACCAGUGGCGAAGGCGGCUCACUGGCCCGGUACUGACGCUGAGGUGCGAAAGCGUGGGGAGCAAACAGG
rnacentral:rRNA from 1 species